GACGAACCGUGCGAACGUUUAUUCGGAAUCACUGGGCUUAAAGGGCGCGUAGGCGGGUCGGUAAGUCAGGGGUGAAAUCCCACGGCCCAACCGUGGAAGUGCCUCUGAUACUGCCGGCCUCGGAGGGGGAUAGGGGCGUGCGGAACUCAGGGUGGAGCGGUGAAAUGCGUAGAGUAUCCUGAGGAACACCGGUGGCGAAAGCGGCGCGCUGGAUCCCUUCGUGACGCUGAGGCGCGAAAGCCAGGGAGGCAAACGGG
rnacentral:rRNA from 1 species